GACUCUCGGCAACGGAUAUCUCGGCUCUCGCAUCGAUGAAGAACGUAGCGAAAUGCGAUACUUGGUGUGAAUUGCAGAAUCCCGUGAACCAUCGAGUCUUUGAACGCAAGUUGCGCCCGAAGCCACUAGGCCGAGGGCACGUCUGCCUGGGUGUCACGCAACGUCGCCAACGCCCAAAU
rnacentral:rRNA from 2 species